rnacentral:rRNA from 1 species
CACGUAGGAGGCAAACGUUAUCCGGAUUUACUGGGCGUAAAGCGCGUGUAGGUGGUUCUGUAAGUAGGGCGUGAAAGCUCCCGGCUCAACUGGGAGAGGCCGUUCUAAACUGCAGAGCUAGAGGAUGGUAGAGGGAGGUGGAAUUCCUAGUGUAGCGGUGAAAUGCGUAGAUAUUAGGAGGAACACCAGUGGCGAAGGCGGCUUUCUGGACGACAACUGACGCUGAUGCACGAAAGCGUGGGGAGCAAACAGGAUUAGAUACCCCCGUAGUCCCUGA